AGUGAACGCUGGCGGUAGGCCUAACACAUGCAAGUCGAACGGCAGCACAGUAAGAGCUUGCUCUUACGUGUGGCGAGUGGCGGACGGGUGAGGAAUACAUCGGAAUCUACUUUUUCGUGGGGGCUAACGUAGGGUAACUUACGCUAAUACCGCAUACGACCUACUGGUGAAAGCAGGGGAUCUUCGGACCUUGCGCGAUUGUAUGAGCCUAUGUCGGAUUAGCUAGUUGGCGGGGUAAAGGCCCACCAAGGCGACGAUCCGUAUCUGGUCUGAGAGGAUGAACAGCCACAUUGGAACAGAGACACGGUAGAGACACCUACGGGAGGCAGCAGUGGGGAAUAUUGGACGAUGGGCGCAAGCCUGAUCCAGCCAUACCGCGUGGGUGAAGAAGGAGUUCGGGUUGUAAAGCCAUUUUGUUGGGAAAGAAAAGAAGCAGGUUAAUACCCGACUGUACUGACAGUACCCAAAGAAUAAGCACCGGCUAACUUCGUG
rnacentral:rRNA from 1 species